CUGGCAAUACAGUGUGGGCAAUGAAACAUGACAAAUGGAGGUGUCUCCUCGGGGAGGGAAGCUUCCUUGAACAUUGCCUUGUUUCCUGUUUUUGCAGUUAUAUUUGCUAAGAGUGUCUGACGCGUAUCAUUUAACGAGGGCCUCGUCUGCAAACUUUUUUCCCUAGGCAAGCCAGGACUACCACUGACUACUUUCUAAGGAGAUGUGGGCUGUGAUAAGUGGUGUCCAAUGCUGGUUGAAGAUAAGAGGCUACAAUUCUGUGGAAAGGAUUCGGAGAAACACGAAUGCCCUCCUUCCUUCCUGCGACCCUGACUUCUUGGACCACCCCUUGUAACCACCACGCUAAUUUCUGCCCCUACGAAUUGGACUGCCAUGGGGACCUCACAGAAGUGGAACCAUCCAGUAUUCCUCCUUUUGUGGCCGGCUUAUUUCACUGAACAUAAUGCCCUCAAGAUGCAUCCGCAUUGUAGUGCGUGCCAGAAGUUCCUUCCUUUUCUAGGCUGAAUCGUAUUCCAUUGUAUGUACCCAUCACAUUUUGUUUAUCCGCUCAUCGGUUGAUGGACGCUCAGGGGGUUCCCACCUUUUGGCUGUUGUGAAUAAUGCUGCUAUGGAUGUGGGUGCCCAGAUAUCUGCUCAAGCCCCCGCUUUCCAUCUUGUCUGCUUAUCUUCAUAUCCUGUGUCAUCGUUCACCCUGAGAAUUCCUACUCUUUCCAGUCUCCUGGAAUAGCACUUGGCGGGGGGGGGGGGGGGUGUCCUCUUUCAAUGCUCUCUUGUAAAGCCCAACAAAAAAAAUGAUUGGAGAAAUGUUUCUGAUAAUAAACUUGUGGGAAAAGC